GAUGAAGAACGUAGUGAAAUGCGAUAAGUAGUGUGAAUUGCAGAAUUCAGUGAAUCAUCGAAUCUUUGAACGCACAUUGCGCCCUUUGGUAUUCCUUAGGGCAUGCCUGUUCGAGCGUCAUUUAAACCUUCAAGCUAAGCUUGGUGUUGGGUGACUGUCCGCUUCACGGCGGACUCGCCUCAAAAUUAUUGGCGGCCGGUACAUUGGCUUCGAGCGCAGCAGAAACGCGAACUCGGGCCCGUCGUAUUGGCUCCCAGAGGCUAUCUUCACAAUUUUGACCUCGGAUCAGGUAGGGAUACCCGCUGAACUUAAGCAUAUCAAUAAGCGGAGGA
rnacentral:misc_RNA from 1 species